rnacentral:rRNA from 1 species
UACAGAGGGGGCAAGCGUUAUUCGGAAUUAUUGGGCGUAAAGGGCGCGUAGGCGGCUUGGCAAGUGGAAGGUGAAAUCCCUCGGCUUAACCGAGGAACUGCCCUCCAAACUGCUUCGCUUGAGACCGGGAGAGGUGAGUGGAAUUCCCAGUGUAGCGGUGAAAUGCGUAGAUAUUGGGAGGAACACCAGUGGCGAAGGCGGCUUCCUGGCCUGUUCUUGACGCUGAGGCGCGAAAGCUAGGGGAGCAAACGGG